GAUGAACGCUAGCGGGAGGCUUAACACAUGCAAGUCGAGGGGCAGCAUAGGGUAGCAAUACUCUGAUGGCGACCGGCAAACGGGUGAGUAACGCGUAUGCAACCUACCCUGUACAGGGGGAUAACCCGGAGAAAUUCGGACUAAUAUCCCGUAAUAAUAUCCGGAGGCAUCUUUGGAUAUUUAAAGUUCCGACGGUACGGGAUGGGCAUGCGUAACAUUAGCUGGUUGGUAAGGUAACGGCUUACCAAGGCUAUGAUGUUUAGGGGUCCUGAGAGGGUGGUCCCCCACACUGGUACUGAGACACGGACCAGACUCCUACGGGAGGCAGCAGUGAGGAAUAUUGGUCAAUGGGCGCAAGCCUGAACCAGCCAUCCCGCGUGCAGGAAGACGGCCCUAUGGGUUGUAAACUGCUUUUCCAGGGAGAGAAACUUACGCACGUGUUGCGUGACUGACGGUACCCUGGGAAUAAGCAUCGGCUAACUCCGUGCCAGCAGCCGCGGUAAUCAUACUCGUAC
rnacentral:rRNA from 1 species